rnacentral:misc_RNA from 1 species
UUUGGUUUGUUACGUGUGGUUGGCUGCGGCGUUUGCAACAACUUCCAUGCUUUCAGACCUCUUCAGUUGUGCGGCAAGGCUUGUAUCGCCUUGAGCGUGCUGUGGGUUUUCUGUGUUGGCUACCUAAUCAAUGGUAUCGGUYGGAUUGAUCAAAGUUUGAUUUCGUCUUUNGUCGCAUUCGCGGCGUGAGGUGAACCUCGAUGCGGUCUCUUUGAUCCACCUCGUUGAAGCACAUGCCUUGACGUUGUGGCACAUUGAGCAUUGCUUGGUCUCUUGUAUACGGAACAUAUAGUGGGCAUGGAUCUAACGAUUCUCGUUUGCCCUCAUAUUAGCGUAACGCUUCUCUAACACGACUUGCGCCACGUUUUAG